UUUUCUUUCUAGUGCAUCUCAUGGUUCUCUCUCUUCCCCAAAGGUUUCCAACAACUGUGACUCCAUUUUCGUGAAUGGGAAGGAAAUGAAGAGUAAAGUGGACACAAUAGUGAAGUUCACCUACCAGCACUUCACCUCCCAGGUGGAAAUCACUGUCUGGGCGCCCCGACUCCCCUUGCAGAUUGAGAUCUCAGACACAGAGCUGAGCCAGAUCAAGGGUUGGAGGAUCCCGGUGGCCUCCAACAGAAGGCCCACCCGGGAAAGCGAAGACAAGGAGGAUGAGGAGAAGAAGGGACAAGGCUGCUCCCUGCAGUACCAGCAUGCCCUGGUGCGCGUCCUCACCCAGUUUGUGACCCAGUCAUCUAACCUACAUGUUGGGCCCAGACAGGCAGUUUGACAUCACUGACCUCGUGACAGAGUUCAUGAAGGUGGAGGAGCCCAGAGUCGCCCAGUUACAGGAUGGCAGGACCCUGGUUGGUCGGGAGCUGGGAAUCACCACUGUUCAGGUACAGGGGGUUCAUGUUUUGCCACCUCUCCAACACCAGUACCUGCUGAUGAUGUAGGCAAAUGCUGCCAUGGAGGGGUGUGCACAUGUGUGAGGGUGAUUGUGCAAAUGUGCAGAUACUGGGUCUUCCUGUAACAGAAUCAUGAGGAAGCAAUAGAGUAUUCACCAAUUUUAAUAACCUAAACACAUUUUGUAUUUUAGAGAGGGUUGAGAAAAAUGCCUGAUCUGUUUUUACCAGAGAAAGCUAAAUGAAACACAUAGUGUAAGUCACCCUUUUCCCGAUAUGACACUUUUUUUUUAAUCUGUACUAGGAGGUGGUAGAACCUCUGAAAGCAAAUUUCUCCUCAACCUUAACAUUUAACCAUUUAGCUAUAUUAUACCUUUAACAGUAGGCAAAGAUUUUCUAGAGCAUGUAUUUGGCUAUAAAUCACAAAGAAUCCAUAGUUAAAAGCUCUCUAUUUUCAUCAUACAUUUAAUAGUAAAAUAAUUUCUAACUGAUUUUGGCAAGAUUAAAAAGGAAAAAGUCACAGCUUGUUUUAUUUUUGCAAAUUUAAAAUGUUACUGCUCAUAGUUAAUUAUGUCUUAUUUUAGGUAUUGCCAAAGUUAAUUUUCACAAAGUUGAAUUAAAC
rnacentral:lncRNA from 1 species